rnacentral:ncRNA from 1 species
CCCAAGAGCUCCCAUCGACGGGAAGGUUUGGCACCUCGAUGUCGGCUCUUCGCCACCUGGGGCUGUAGUAUGUUCCAAGGGUUGGGCUGUUCGCCCAUUAAAGUGGUACAUGAGCUGGGUUCAAAACAUCGUGAGACAGUUCGACCCAUAUCCGGUGUGGGCGUUAGAGCAUUGAGAGGACCUUUCCCUAGUACGAGAGGACCGGGAAGGACGCACAGUUGCUAACUCAAAACCAAAUCUUGAAAGAUUUUGUUGCAAUCAAUAUAGUAAAUCAAUAUAGAUUUAUAGUAAUAGUAAAUAAUAAGAAUAAGUAAUACAACAAUUUCGAACUCUAUUUAGAAUC